UUAAGUUAUUAAGGGCGCACGGUGGAUGCCUUGGCACUAGAAGCCGAUGAAGGACGUUACUAACGACGAUAUGCUUUGGGGAGCUGUAAGUAAGCUUUGAUCCAGAGAUUUCCGAAUGGGGAAACCCAGCAUGAGUUAUGUCAUGUUAUCGAUAUGUGAAUACAUAGCAUAUCAGAAGGCACACCCGGAGAACUGAAACAUCUUAGUACCCGGAGGAAGAGAAAGAAAAUUCGAUUCCCUUAGUAGCGGCGAGCGAAACGGGAAGAGCCCAAACCAACAAGCUUGCUUGUUGGGGUUGUAGGACACUCUAUACGGAGUUACAAAGGACGACAUUAGACGAAUCAUCUGGAAAGAUGAAUCAAAGAAGGUAAUAAUCCUGUAGUCGAAAAUGUUGUCUCUCUUGAGUGGAUCCUGAGUACGACGGAGCACGUGAAAUUCCGUCGGAAUCUGGGAGGACCAUCUCCUAAGGCUAAAUACUCUCUAGUGACCGAUAGUGAACCAGUACCGUGAGGGAAAGGUGAAAAGCACCCCGGAAGGGGAGUGAAAUAGAACCUGAAACCGUGUGCUUACAAGUAGUCAGAGCCCGUUAAUGGGUGAUGGCGUGCCUUUUGUAGAAUGAACCGGCGAGUUACGAUUUGAUGCAAGGUUAAGCAGUAAAUGUGGAGCCGUAGCGAAAGCGAGUCUGAAUAGGGCGUUUAGUAUUUGGUCGUAGACCCGAAACCAGGUGAUCUACCCUUGGUCAGGUUGAAGUUCAGGUAACACUGAAUGGAGGACCGAACCGACUUACGUUGAAAAGUGAGCGGAUGAACUGAGGGUAGCGGAGAAAUUCCAAUCGAACCUGGAGAUAGCUGGUUCUCUCCGAAAUAGCUUUAGGGCUAGCCUCAAGUGAUGAUUAUUGGAGGUAGAGCACUGUUUGGACGAGGGGCCCCUCUCGGGUUACCGAAUUCAGACAAACUCCGAAUGCCAAUUAAUUUAACUUGGGAGUCAGAACAUGGGUGAUAAGGUCCGUGUUCGAAAGGGAAACAGCCCAGACCACCAGCUAAGGUCCCAAAAUAUAUGUUAAGUGGAAAAGGAUGUGGCGUUGCCCAGACAACUAGGAUGUUGGCUUAGAAGCAGCCAUCAUUUAAAGAGUGCGUAAUAGCUCACUAGUCGAGUGACACUGCGCCGAAAAUGUACCGGGGCUAAACAUAUUACCGAAGCUGUGGAUUGUCCUUUGGACAAUGGUAGGAGAGCGUUCUAAGGGCGUUGAAGCAUGAUCGUAAGGACAUGUGGAGCGCUUAGAAGUGAGAAUGCCGGUGUGAGUAGCGAAAGACGGGUGAGAAUCCCGUCCACCGAUUGACUAAGGUUUCCAGAGGAAGGCUCGUCCGCUCUGGGUUAGUCGGGUCCUAAGCUGAGGCCGACAGGCGUAGGCGAUGGAUAACAGGUUGAUAUUCCUGUACCACCUAUAAUCGUUUUAAUCGAUGGGGGGACGCAGUAGGAUAGGCGAAGCGUGCGAUUGGAUUGCACGUCUAAGCAGUAAGGCUGAGUAUUAGGCAAAUCCGGUACUCGUUAAGGCUGAGCUGUGAUGGGGAGAAGACAUUGUGUCUUCGAGUCGUUGAUUUCACACUGCCGAGAAAAGCCUCUAGAUAGAAAAUAGGUGCCCGUACCGCAAACCGACACAGGUAGUCAAGAUGAGAAUUCUAAGGUGAGCGAGCGAACUCUCGUUAAGGAACUCGGCAAAAUGACCCCGUAACUUCGGGAGAAGGGGUGCUCUUUAGGGUUAACGCCCAGAAGAGCCGCAGUGAAUAGGCCCAAGCGACUGUUUAUCAAAAACACAGGUCUCUGCUAAACCGUAAGGUGAUGUAUAGGGGCUGACGCCUGCCCGGUGCUGGAAGGUUAAGAGGAGUGGUUAGCUUCUGCGAAGCUACGAAUCGAAGCCCCAGUAAACGGCGGCCGUAACUAUAACGGUCCUAAGGUAGCGAAAUUCCUUGUCGGGUAAGUUCCGACCCGCACGAAAGGCGUAACGAUUUGGGCACUGUCUCAACGAGAGACUCGGUGAAAUCAUAGUACCUGUGAAGAUGCAGGUUACCCGCGACAGGACGGAAAGACCCCGUGGAGCUUUACUGUAGCCUGAUAUUGAAAUUCGGCACAGCUUGUACAGGAUAGGUAGGAGCCUUUGAAACGUGAGCGCUAGCUUACGUGGAGGCGCUGGUGGGAUACUACCCUAGCUGUGUUGGCUUUCUAACCCGCACCACUUAUCGUGGUGGGAGACAGUGUCAGGCGGGCAGUUUGACUGGGGCGGUCGCCUCCUAAAAGGUAACGGAGGCGCUCAAAGGUUCCCUCAGAAUGGUUGGAAAUCAUUCAUAGAGUGUAAAGGCAUAAGGGAGCUUGACUGCGAGACCUACAAGUCGAGCAGGGUCGAAAGACGGACUUAGUGAUCCGGUGGUUCCGCAUGGAAGGGCCAUCGCUCAACGGAUAAAAGCUACCCCGGGGAUAACAGGCUUAUCUCCCCCAAGAGUUCACAUCGACGGGGAGGUUUGGCACCUCGAUGUCGGCUCAUCGCAUCCUGGGGCUGUAGUCGGUCCCAAGGGUUGGGCUGUUCGCCCAUUAAAGCGGUACGCGAGCUGGGUUCAGAACGUCGUGAGACAGUUCGGUCCCUAUCCGUCGUGGGCGUAGGAAAUUUGAGAGGAGCUGUCCUUAGUACGAGAGGACCGGGAUGGACAUACCUCUGGUGUACCAGUUGUCGUGCCAACGGCAUAGCUGGGUAGCUAUGUGUGGACGGGAUAAGUGCUGAAAGCAUCUAAGCAUGAAGCCCCCCUCAAGAUGAGAUUUCCCAACUUCGGUUAUAAGAUCCCUCAAAGAUGAUGAGGUUAAUAGGUUCGAGGUGGAAGCAUGGUGACAUGUGGAGCUGACGAAUACUAAUCGAUUGAAGACUUAAUCAA
rnacentral:rRNA from 3 species